rnacentral:rRNA from 1 species
GCCUAAUACAUGCAAGUCGAACGAACUUCCGUUAAUUGAUUAUGACGUACUUGUACUGAUUGAGAUUUUAACACGAAGUGAGUGGCGAACGGGUGAGUAACACGUGGGUAACCUGCCCAGAAGUAGGGGAUAACACCUGGAAACAGAUGCUAAUACCGUAUAACAGAGAAAACCGCAUGGUUUUCUUUUAAAAGAUGGCUCUGCUAUCACUUCUGGAUGGACCCGCGGCGUAUUAGCUAGUUGGUGAGGUAAAGGCUCACCAAGGCAGUGAUACGUAGCCGACCUGAGAGGGUAAUCGGCCACAUUGGGACUGAGACACGGCCCAGACUCCUACGGGAGGCAGCAGUAGGGAAUCUUCCACAAUGGACGCAAGUCUGAUGGAGCAACGCCGCGUGAGUGAAGAAGGGUUUCGGCUCGUAAA